rnacentral:rRNA from 1 species
GAUGAACGCUAGCUACAGGCUUAACACAUGCAAGUCGAGGGACCGGCGCACGGGUGAGUAACACGUAUCCAACCUGCCCUUUACUCGGGGAUAGCCUUUCGAAAGAAAGAUUAAUACCCGAUAUAAAGGAUGGGGAUGCGUUCCAUUAGGUUGUUGGUAGGGUAACGGCUGACCAAGCCUUCGAUGGAUAGGGGUGCUGAGAGGAAGGCCCCCCACAUUGGAACUGCGACACGGUCCAAUCUCCUACGCGGGGAAGCAGUGAGGAAUAUUGGUCAAUGGGCGCUAGCCUGAACCAGCCAAGUAGCGUGAUGAUUGAAUGCUUAUUGUUCGUAAACUUCUUUUAUAUAAGAAUCUGUAUUAUAUGAAUAAGGAUCGGCUAACUCCGUGCCAGCAGCCGCGGUAAUAC